rnacentral:ncRNA from 1 species
GAUAAAUUUUUUAUAUUUUUAAAAAUUUAUUAUAAAUUUAUUUUACAUGUAAAUUUUAGUAUAAAAUUUUAAUUAUUUUAAUAAUAAUUAAUUUAAUUUAAACAGUAAUUAAAAUUAAAAAUUUAAGAAAUUAAGAUUUAGUAAUAUUUAAAUUAAUAACUAAUUUUGUGCCAGCAGUUGCGGUUAAACAAAAGUUAAAUUAAAUUAUUUCAGUAUUUAAUAAAUAAUAUAAUAUUAAAUUAAAUAUUAAAUUAUUAAGUGAAAUUUUAAUUUAAUUAAAAAUUAUUUAAAAAUUAUGAUUUAAUAAAUUUUAUUAUAAACUAGGAUUAGAUACCCUAUUAUUAAAAAUUUAAUUAAAAAUACUAAAAUAGUAAAUAAAAUAUUAUUGAAACUUAAAUAAAAUGGCGGUAUUUUAGUUCAUUUAGAGGAAUCUGUCUAGUAAUUGAUAAUCCACGAAUAAAUUUACUUAAUUUAUAAUUUUGUAUAUCAUUGUUAAAAAAAUAUUUUUAAAUAAAAAUAAUAUUUUAAAAUUUAUAAUAAAAAUUAAUUCAGAUCAAGAUGCAGAUUAUAAUUAAGUUUAAGAUGGAUUACAAUAAAAUUAUUUAAAUGGAAAAAAUUUUGUAAAAUUUGAUUGAAGGUGGAUUUAAAUGUAAUUUUAAUUAAUUUAUUAAAAUGAUUAAAAAUUGAAAUAUGUACAUAUUGCCCGUCACUUUCAUUUAAAAAUUGAAAUAAGUCGUAACAAAGUAGAGGUACUGGAAAGUGUUUCUAGAAUGAA